AGACAGGCAGUGGCCGACCUCGAGCGCGCUGGACUGAGUGUGAGAAACCAGACGCUGAACGCUAGUGCCGCGUGACGCCGCUCAGAUGAGUUUUAGGAUCACAGCAAAAUUGAGGGGAAUGUUCCAAGAGCUGCCAUACCUCCCACGCCCGCACGUGCGCAGCCUCCCCCGCUCUCAGCACCCCCUCCCCGGAGCCACGCACCUGUUACAGGGCGAGAAGCUGCGCUGACCCGCCUUCGGCACCCAGAGUCCACAGUGGACAGUGGGGUUCACCCCGCGUGGCUCCCUCUGUGGGUCUGGCUUCCACUUUAAAAUAGCAUUUUUGAUGGAAAUCACUUGACUCGAAGAGGAAAGCUGCAAGUGACAGGAAGAGUACAAAGCUACCCACGUAGCUCAGACCCGGGACCACCUGCCGUCAGGCUUGCGCUGUCUGCUUGAGCCCUCGCGCUCCUGCCCUACAUACACACGUACACGUGGACCUGAAUCGCUUGAGAAGAGGGAGCACAAGCAGGACGAGGGGCAGAAGGAGUGGGAGAAGCCGACGCCCUUCUGAGCAGGCGUGACACACUGCAUCCCAGGACUCUGAGACUGUGACCAGAGCCGAAGGCAGACGCUUCACCAGCUGAACCAGCCAGGUGCUCCGGGUGAUUAUUUUUCACAUUUUAACAACAACACAUGGAAAAGCACUUAGCCGUGUGCUUGGCACAAGUAAAGGCUUCGUUAACAUGAGCUCCUAUUAUUACACGCACAGCAGCAGAAAUGUGGGCGCCGGCUUUGUGCCUACGCGCCGCGGAGACCCGGAGGCGCUCCCCCACGCGCCCCUCCCUCGUUCAUUAACAGCGGUGGCAUGGCCGGUGGCCAGGCGAUCUUUCCCUUGGCCGACAGCCGUCGCCUGUGGCUUUUAGCAUCGAGGAGAACAACCUUUGUUCCUCCAGAACUGGCCUAGGUAUGGGUUGAGGGAAGCAGAGUCCGGGACCUGGGAGAGGUCGGUCGGAGGACCUGGGCGGUCUGCAGCAGGCAGUCUCCACGGGGCUCAAGAGACGCGGGGGCCCCCACGGAUGCGUGGUGCUUUGAGUUGAGAAUUUAAGUAUCUAGAGAAGGUACCAAAGUCUGCAGAACGUGGACUUUCCUCCCCAUCUGCACCCCCACCCCUGCCUCUGUGGCUGGACAUCUGAGGUGACCGUGAACUCCAGGCACAUCUUUUACAGGUUGACAUUGUCCUUGGUGACGUCUCUUCUCACCAUCUGUUUCCCGACGUGGCAAGCGCCUCGCGCACGAGCGCGUGGAGAGCAUGACUACUGAGGUUAUUUUUGUCUCCUGAUUCAUUGUUAAACAUCUUUUACCCUCUUAACUGCGCAGACGUAAAAUCCUUUUCCAUAUAAUAAUUGUCUGAGCUCAGAAGAGCCAGGGCUGUUACUCACUGCCACCAAAACCCAGACGGUAUUUUUAUUCUACACUCAAGUUGGCUCCCGCAUUUCUUUCCAGGCCCUGUAUGCGCCUUAAAAUUUCCAUGGAUUGGGUCAAGCUGUUCUUUAAUCAACCAGAAAAAUGCAGGGCACACGUAUGUCUCGCUUCUUGCAAAGCGAGAUGGACACAGAUUUUUUUUUUAAGGAUAAGCAUUUAUAUACAUUUUAAGAAGAGGAAAGACAAGAGUCCUCUCCUCCCACUCUCACCGCGGGUCUGCAGAUGGCCGAGGAGGACGAUGGCCUGUGCUGCCCCUGCUCGGGUCCAGACCAGAGCUGCGUGUCACCCCGCGGUAUCCCCAUCCCGCAGGGGACAGGGCCUUGGGGGUAGCGCUGUGGCUGUGGAACUCCAGGGUUGAAGGGCAUGGUUGCACCCUGCAAGGCCCGUUAGCAAACCUGGAGAGAAAAGUCAUAGGACAUUGGAGAUGGAGAGAACGUGUGUCCUUUCUUUGCCACUUGCUCGUGUUCAGACGGGAGCUGGACGCGGGAGCCCGCCUACCUGGGGCAGCCCGGGGACUCGGCUGUCGGGCCUUUGCCUCCAGGGCUCCCGGCUCCAGGGGUGGGAAGAGAGAGGGCACUGUCCGCCACAGGCGUUCUGGGAAGAGCCCUCUUCUGCCCUGCGGAGGCUGUCUGUGACAGGUAUGAAGCGCAGG